GUACAGACUGCUGCCCGCUGGCUGCCUAGGUUGCUCUGCAGACAAUGAUAUUAAAAGAAAAUGAUGACCAUCCCAGGAGUGGUAGCUAGCCUGACUUCACAGCUCCCCACUACACUGGAUCCACCACUCUCCGAAAAGAAAAUGCAUCCAAUGGAUAACACCGUAAGAGGACAACACAAGAAACAGUAAGGCAA